UACGUAGGGUGCGAGCGUUAAUCGGAAUUACUGGGCGUAAAGCGUGCGCAGGCGGUGAUGUAAGACCGAUGUGAAAUCCCCGGGCUUAACCUGGGAACUGCAUUGGUGACUGCAUCGCUCGAGUAUGGCAGAGGGGGGUAGAAUCCCACGUGUAGCAGUGAAAUGCGUAGAGAUGUGGAGGAAUACCGAUGGCGAAGGCAGCCCCCUGGGUCAAUACUGACGCUCAUGCACGAAAGCGUGGGGAGCAAACAGG
rnacentral:rRNA from 1 species